rnacentral:rRNA from 1 species
AGCUCAAAUUUGAAAUCUGGCACCUUCGGUGUCCGAGUUGUAAUUUGAAGAAGGUAACUUUGGAGUUGGCUCUCGUCUAUGUUCCUUGGAACAGGACGUCACAGAGGGUGAGAAUCCCGUGCGAUGAGAUGUCCAACUCUAUGUAAAGUGCUUUCGAAGAGUCGAGUUGUUUGGGAAUGCAGCUCUAAGUGGGUGGUAAAUUCCAUCUAAAGCUAAAUAUUGGCGAGAGACCGAUAGCGAACAAGUACAGUGAUGGAAAGAUGAAAAGAACUUUGAAAAGAGAGUGAAAAAGUACGUGAAAUUGUUGAAAGGGAAGGGUUUGAGAUCAGACUUGGUAUUUUGUAUGUCUUGCUUUCGGGUGGGGCCUCUGCAGUUUACUGGGCCAGCAUCGGUUUGGACGGUAGGAUAAUGACAUUGGAAUGUGGCACUACUUCGGUGGUGUGUUAUAGACUUUGUUGAUACUGCCUGUCUAGACCGAGGACUGCGUCUUUGACUAGGAUGCUGGCAUAAUGAUCCUAAACCGCCCGUCUUGAAACACGGACCAAGGAGUCUAACGUCUAUGCAAGUGUUUGGGUGUAAAACCCGUACGCGUAAUGAAAGUGAACGUAGGUGAGAGCUCUUUAGAGUGCAUCAUCGACCGAUCCUGAUGUCUUCGGAUGGAUUUGAGUAAGAGCAUAGCUGUUGGGACCCGAAAGAUGGUGAACUAUGCCUGAAUAGGGUGAAGCCAGAGGA